UGUUUCUGGCUUCUCUUAAAAGAUCUGUGUAAAAGACUGCAUACAGGUGCGAAAAAUAAAGCCUCUCUUGCAACCCAGAACUCAUUGUUCAGUAUGAGUUUUGAUACAUAUAAGAAGGAACAUU